rnacentral:rRNA from 1 species
UACGAAGGGGGGCUAGCGUUGUUCGGAAUUACUGGGCGUAAAGGGCGCCGCAGGCGGUCCUUCAAGUCAGGCGUGAAAGCCCCGGGCUCAACCUGGGAAUCGCGCUUGAGACUGAGGGACUUGAGUUCGGGAGAGGAGAGCGGAAUUCCCAGUGUAGAGGUGAAAUUCGUAGAUAUUGGGAAGAACACCGGUGGCGAAGGCGGCGCUCUGGACCGAGACUGACGCUGAGGCGCGAAGGCGUGGGGAGCAAACAGG